rnacentral:lncRNA from 1 species
AACCUCUGAUGAGCUCUGCUAUAACCAGGGUCCAAUCUAACAGCCUCCUCACACUCCUUGACGGCUUCUCCCAACCUUCCCACCGCCGCCAACGCUGCUGACCUGUUACUUCGGUAAGCAGCAUUUUCCGGUGAAAUAGAUAUUGCUUUAUCAUACAAUGCCAACGCUUCCAAAAAAUUCCCUCUUUUAUACAUCUCAUUACCAGCUUUCUUCAUUUCUUCAGGAUCAGCAGUAGUCCCCAAUUUAGCACCGCCACCACCACGAAUUAUGCUGCCAUGUCCAUAGUUUCCUUUGCCAGCACCAAGCGUGUCGGUCUUGUUAGAGGUACGUAAGCCCAUGGUUUUUAGGAUUUUCCCAGACGGGCAAAUGUUACCACUGGGUAAAAUAUUUGUCGUGGUUGGGAUAGAACAAACAGGAGAGGAUGAAGAAGAAGAAGAAGAAGAGGUUGCUCCACUGAAGCUUGAACCAGAGUAGAUUAAAGGAGGCCCAGCAGAGACGGAUCUCCUAUGACCCGGC